AUGGGGACCGAGGGGAGCAGGACAGAGCCCGCGGGUCCCCACGUGUGUCCCCUGGCCAUGGGUGGGCAGCGCUGGGAGCCCGGCCACCCCUCCCGGGCCCCGGGGCAGCGGCGGGGCGGGCGCUGGCGCUGCUCCCGCUGUGUCUCCGGGUGCCGGGCGCUAUCUCUGGUGCCGGGCGCUAUCUAUAGAUGUUUGACACCUCCAGGUGCGGAGGGAGCCGGGACCCUCCACCUCCCAGCGCUGCCGGCACACUGCAGCGCCGCGCUGCGCUCCUUGGUUCUCGUUGACACCCGGCUCUCUUUUCGCUCAGGCAGCCGCGGGACGGGGUUUAGCAGGAACCGGCCCCCGGAGCUGGAUGUGGGGGGCCGGGGGAUCGCACAGGGCCUUUGUAGGGUCGUGGCAGGCGUAGCAGCAGAGCAGAGCGGGCUUUGCCUGCCCAGGACCUGUGGCAAAGUGCUGUGCGUGCAGUGUUUGCUGAGCAGAGCUGCUGGGACACUGCCGUGCCUUCUCUCCCGGUGUCCUGCUUCUCCUCCUGGCUGUGGGCAGGCAGCAGAGCCCCUCGGCAUCCCUCCCCUGCAUCCCUCCCCUGCAUCCCUCCCCUGCAUCCCUCCUGCCUGCCCCGGCUCUGCUGCCCCGGACCCACGGGCUGCCCUGGCUCUGGGCAUCCCUCGCCUCUGUGCCCGGGGAUGCUGUCCCAGCAAAGGCCACCACGCCGUGUCCCAGGGCCUGGGCAGCGCUGUCACCGCCUCGCUGGGCUCCUGGAGGUCCCUCCUUGCCUUUCCUGCCCCAUCUCUGCAGCUGGAGCCCAGGAGCGGAGCCCAGGGCCCAAAGGGCACCAGAGACUUUCUCCAGCCCCGUUGGUGCCGGGCUGGGAGAGGGGAGCCGGGACAAGGAGAGUUCCCCCGGGCCAAGGCGCUGCUGGAGAAGGGGAAGGAGCCCGCAGCACUUUGGCAGCCCUGGGAAGUGAUGGAGCUGUCCCGGAGCGGGCAGGUGACCGGGAGCACCUUUACCUGCUCCAGCCCACCUGGGGCAUCCCGGCUGGGCUGCUCGGGCCCUGUGCUGCUGCCAGCCUGCAGCAGCCCCUCUGCUCCCUGCCCGGCUCCAGAAGGGCACUGCCAACCCUCCUGGGCCCCGCUGGGCUCUCCAGAACAGGAGCUGCUGCCGCGGAUGGUGUGA
rnacentral:lncRNA from 1 species